AGAUGGAAGUCUGACCGCAACUGUACCAGAGUUAUUCUUCUAAAGAUGAGGAAGUUCGACAUCGGAAGCAAGACCAGGGGACGUCAAAGUCACCUUCUGCAGCACCAUCAUUCCAGGGAACAGAGGAUCCAGGACAAUGGCAGACUGUGACUUUCCUGAAAAAGGUCCAGGAUGUUCACAGCCAUGGACGCUACUGCACUAGGAGAGAUGUCAUGCCGAAAGCCCAGCCCAAAGGUGGGGAGGCCUUAAAAAAAAAAGAAAAACUGGAGUUCCUUGGAAAUUCCGGAUCUGGAGCGACAGAGAAGAGUGUAUCCAAAGUCUAUUCCCAUCAGUGGGAGUAGCUGAAGUUCGAGACCAUGUUGAGAUCAACAGGAACUGGAGGAACUAUACAUGAUGCCCUGCAUGAAUGGGAAGAGCUUAAAGACUAUGUGGACGAUGCAACUCAGAGGUCACAGCCUUUUGACUCUAUUUCUUGGCUCACCUCCGGACCCUGGUGGCAGCCUUUUUAUUAAAGAUUGGAACACCCAUCAUGACUGUACUGAUCCUAUUCUGUCUCUAUACAACCUGCAUCAUUCCAAGUCUUCGUAGCAUGAUGUUAAAAACAUUUAACACUGCUUUGAUCAGCUAUCAGAUGGACAGGGUAACCUCUGACACAGAUGAGGACUACAUCUGGUUUCCAGAAAAAUGAAGAUAAACAGGAAAACAGGAACAUAUGAUGAUGUGCUAUACCUAAUAAACAGAUUAAAUCAUUUGCUCAAUGGCUCCUGCACUGAACAUGUGACAAUAGAUGAUGUUCGUGAUUUAAGAUGCAUUUGGGGUAUACUGUUUCUUUUAUUUUUCAUUUAUUGCAUUAUAUUCCAUAUAUUCAUUGUGUAUUUUCUGUGUUUAGAUUAGAAAAAAAAAAAAAA